CCCCUACGGGGCGCAGCAGUGGGGAGUAUUGCACAAUGGGGGAAACCCUGAUGCAGCGACGCCGCGUGAGCGAAGAAGUAUUUCGGUAUGUAAAGCUCUAUCAGCAGGGAAGAAAAAUGACGGUACCUGAGUAAGAAGCACCGGCUAAAUACGUGCCAGCAGCCGCGGUAAUACGUAUGGUGCAAGCGUUAUCCGGAUCCAUUGGGCGUAAAGCGCGCGCAGGCGGACCGUUAAGCGGGACCUCUAAUCCUGGGGCUCAACCUCAGGCCGGGUCCCGAACUGGCGGUCUCGAGUGCGGUAGGGGG
rnacentral:rRNA from 1 species